rnacentral:rRNA from 1 species
UACGUAGGUGACCAGCGUUGUCCGGAUUUACUGGGCGUAAAGAGCGCGCAGGCGGUCGUUCAAGUCGAGUGUGAAAGCCCCCCGGCUCAACUGGGGAGGGUCAUUCGAUACUGAUCGACUGGAAGGCAGGAGAGGGAAGCGGAAUUCCCGGUGUAGUGGUGAAAUGCGUAGAUAUCGGGAGGAACACCAGUGGCGAAGGCGGCUUCCUGCCGUGUU